AACAUUGUAGUUGAAUGUACACUAGGAAUUAUCGUCACCAUUGGGGGAUGUAAAUAGUAGGUCAUAAUGAUUAAGAUAAGGUCAUCGAAGGGGUCGAGGCAAACCUAGUAAGAGUGGAAAGAGACGGCCGGUGAAUUCCCAGAUACAUUAUUCUCUCUAGUUAUCUAUUCCACCACAGGGCUACUCGAUGCCCCCCAUCUCAAUGCCUCCCUCUACAUGACCUGGUAUGGCCCAGUAAGCCACCCCCAUUCUAUCAGUAUACGGGUCCCCCACGAUUAUACUGAAAUGCCUCCAUCCGCCUUUUUGCAUUUUCACACAGGGUUAUACUACCUUGCUAGCUAUAGGUCGAUGACUCUCUCUACCUUACGACUGUCAUCUAGUACUCCACUUUCAUCCAGUUCAACUAGAUCACAACCUUCUUUAUCAGCCAGUCGACCAUUUCUCCUCUCAUGUCUUCGCCUUUGAGAUAGUAGCUCUUAACUAGACACCCUACUACGCAUCACUUUGCUGCAUAGGGUCAGGAUGCUCUGCAACCUAGGAAGAUUAACGGUUAUCGAAGGCUCAUCAUCAAACCUGAGGGGUUCGGGUUCAAUCCGGGCCUAGAGACUAUGAAGAUCAUUACAAAUGCCACUGGCGAUCUUUAUGAUGUUGUAUACACGACUUGGGGUGAGACUCCACAACCGCUCAAGCAAUAAAUGUUCAAUGAAUUUAAGAAAAUGUGUGUAUGGCUCCCCCACCAUGAAAGGAAGAUCACUACUAACUUUGAAUAAAAAGCAAGUCAUAGGCUGUCCAACUUGAUUUCAGUUGCUCACGGGAGAGGUGCGAAGCUCACGUGAUGCCAACCACAUAAGUGGAAAGACCUAUGCAGACACUGGAACAAUCAUGAGCAGUUUAAGAAGAAGAUUGAACUGAGAAAGAAAGUCAGAGCCUCUCAGAGGGGAAAAAACGGGGAAGAAACUAAUUUAAGAUGAGUUAUUCAAGGCCACUAACGUAAGGAAGAAGAAAAGAAACACAGAUCUAGAUACUUGGGUCGAGCAACCGGCUGAUACUACCUAUGUUAAUAUCAAAGUUCUUCCUUGGAGGAGUUCCGCUGGAUUCAACCGACCAGUGAUCUGGGCGAGCCAAUACAAAUUUCAUAUGAGGAUAGUAAGAAAAUUUGGUUGGACACUAUUAGUGGCCCAAGAAAGGGGAGAGCUUACGACCUUUCUGAACGAGCAUUUCAUCGUUACAAGUCAGGGUUGCAACACAUAAGAACUUCCUCAGAAGGCUAGGCAAUGGAUAGGGCGAUCAUGAUGUCUAGGAUAUCGAAGAUAGUUUGAAAGGAUCAAGGCUCAAUUAUGAGCAUUACUUGCUACCGGGAUAUUUUUGAUUCAUGUGCUAAUAAUGCUAUCCCCGAUCUCGAGCUCCAUACGAUCGUCCUGCCCGCGAUCAUCCUAUCCGCGGUCUUGUAGAUGAGGAAGAUUCUUCUAAUAGUUCAGACGAUGUGGUGGCAAACUCCAUUCGA